rnacentral:lncRNA from 1 species
GAGACAUCCUAAACAAAGAUGAGAUUUCUGAGUUAGUCUGAAAUUUAUAGGCUGCCUUACAAUUCAUGCUGAUUCUUUUAGUUUCCUAAUUUACUUACUAAUAGAAAUAGCCUCAGGAGACAAUUGCACAUUUUUGUGACUUUCUUUGGAGGAUAAGAUCUGAAAAAUUAAUAAAUGGUUUCAUUUAUAAACUCCUGAACACUACAUACUGUUUAGCCCAUUUCCAAACAUGCAACUGUUGCAUCUUACAUAGGCAUUGAGGGAGAAGACUGUUUUAAAUGCUUCUAUUAUUUAAGAGACUAGAUCAGAAAGAAAGAAGGCUAUUUAGAAUGAGAUAGGCUACUACUUAAAAUUAGACCGCAAGCGGUUGUUAUGAUACCUCCCUCUAAUCCCACUGAUUUUAAGGCCUAGCUCUAUAAUAAAAAUACCUGGGAAGAUUGUUUUUAAUGCCUAGAUGUUGGAUCCAUCUGCAGAGACUCUGACUUAAUUAUCUGAGGUCAGACAUUAAAACAAACUCCUCGAGGUGAUUUAAAAUGUUACGAGUAUCUAUGGUAGCCCCGCCGUCGUAAGCGGCGCUGUGGCCUCGGUUGGGGUGGAGUGAGGCCUCCACGUUCCGUACUCACCUGCGAGGUGUCCUGCGCAGACGGGAGCGAUGUCCCAGAAAAGCAGCCGGUAGACUUGGGUCUCCUCGAGGAGGAUGACGAGUUCGAGGAGUUCCCUGCCGAAGAGCUGAACUGGACUAGGAUGGAGAACCCAGGAUCUGCUUGGAUUUAUUUUUGUUUUUGUAGCACAAGAAAAAUAAAUGAAAAAAAAAAAUGUUCA